GGGGAUGUCACGGUUUCGACAUGAUAGAUAGACCCAAAAAUGCAGCAGGGUAAGCCCUUUAUAGCUGUCGAGGCACAAUAAAUGCUAAGAAAAACGAUGAAGUUGUUGAACUAGAUUCUUUCGAAAUCAACGCUUUAACUCAACAAACAAACUUUGCUUACAAUUUAGCUUAGUAACUAUGUUGAAAAUCUAUUUUGAUUGUCGGUGUAAAAAUAGAUUAAUAACCGAAUAAUUGUUGUGAUUUCUAUAAACGGCAAGGAUUAAUUAUAGGAUUACUUUAUUUAUUGGGUGUUCUAGUCUGAAGGAUAAAGGAAAUUUAUUUCUAGAACUAAGCUUGUAGACUUUUUGGAGAAGUGUAUUGUGGAAACGGGUUCGACUCCCGUCAUCUCCACCA
rnacentral:tmRNA from 1 species